ensembl:antisense Gm15997 predicted gene 15997
GUCAUUUUUGGAUCAUAGGGAUAGCCGGCUGCAGAGCUACACGGAGCCCCAGCCCUUACGACUCAGCAGAUGGGCAGCUGUCUCAGAAGGCAGGCUGGGAACCCCCUACAUCACAGAGCUGCAGGGACCAGAAAUAAAUAGUUCCGUCUUCUCGGAGGGUGAUUAAGGUGUCAUCGGGCAGAGGGAGAAUGCGCAGCACGGGUCUCCCAUAUGUCAGCCUCUGCUGAAUGGCAGGCAGCAGGAGAGAGGCCUCCGCUUGCCGAGCUGCCGCCUUGGCUUGCUCUGAGUACUCCAGCUGCAGAUGCCACGAGGUGGCUGGGACUCCUCUCUCUGUCACACACACCCUCUACAGUGGACUGUGAUGCCACAGGCCCAUAGCAACAGGCAGAGCCUACUGGCCGUGAGCAGAAACUCCUGGCCGUGUGAGCCAAAGAUCUGACCUUUCUCUUUCAAGACUUCAGAGAUACAACCAUGACUGUCCCCUUCAGGGAACAUUUUAGGAGUCACUAUGUCUAGCUGUGACUAAUGGAUGAGUCUUCAGCAGCACUGGCCGUGGUGGCUGCCCAUACCCUGACAGACCUACCCUCAGGACCAAGAAUGUCCAGGGUCUGCAAGAUUGCCUAGUGUCACCGGAUCCCCAGUGGUACCUUGGAUGGCUGGUUCUCCCAGAGAGGGCUUGCAUCUUAGAGAAACAGAGGCAGCGGUGGUUUGUCGACUUCUCUUGUGAAGCACGGAGCCCUUUAGGAAUUUGUACUUAGAGUGAUAUCGGCUAUGCCCCUGCUUAACCUACAGUGCAAAGAUCUUGCUUGUUUAUUUCUUGAUAAAUAUAUACUAGAAAAAAAGUUUUCUCUUUCGCUGCCCAACUAGGCAAGGAGUUUGUAAUCCCAUUACUCCAUUUCUUAAGAGACAAAAGAUAGAUCAGGAGACCUAUGGAGAGGUUUUGCUUAGGCCUAUCAGCCAUAGCACGGUGUCCACUGGCCCUGUUUUCUAGUUAGAAACAAGCAUGUCUCGCUGAGCUCUGUCUGAGGCUACACUGGGCACCUGAGCCAUCUCUACCGGCUCUCAAUGCCUUCUGACAGCCCAUGGCUUGCCUAGCCACCCUCUGCGCAUGCCUAGUCCGUAGAGACGCAGACACAAAGUAUAUCAAAGAAAGCUGGUGCAAGCAGGAGCUUAAAGAGCGCUAAGCAAUUCAGACGCGAGCUAAUCCAAAUCAUCACAGGGGUGCAUUUGUGCGGCGGCCAGAUCAGAGCCAACACGGGUGCCCUGGGCUCCCUAGAAUCCUGUCUGACGAAUGUGCUUGCAAGGCUGGAAGACAGCAGCUUGCUUCAGAUCAUGAGCUGGCAUGCCCUGGUUGCCCAUGGCAACCCAGCUGCUCUGGAGUGCUAGCAUUUGUAAAUGUGUGUGGGCUUAAAAUUGUAUUAUUGAUUCCGUCUGAAAGACGAUAGUCUGAUUUGUAUAUAGCUCGGAAUAAAUUAAUCAUUAUCCUUUAUAGCCC